rnacentral:rRNA from 1 species
UACGGGGGGGGCUAGCGUUGUUCGGAAUUACUGGGCGUAAAGGGCGCGUAGGCGGUCUGCUAAGUUGGAUGUGAAAACUCUGGGCUUAACCCAGAGCCUGCAUUCAAUACUGACAGGCUAGAGUUCUGGAGGGGAUAGCGGAAUUCCUGGUGUAGCGGUGAAAUGCGUAGAUAUCAGGAGGAACACCGGUGGCGAAGGCGGCUAUCUGGACAGAGUCUGACGCUGAGGCGCGAAAGCCAGGGGAGCGAACGGG